rnacentral:rRNA from 1 species
CUACGUGCCAGCAGCCGCGGUAAUACGUAGGUGGCAAGCGUUGUCCGGAUUUAUUGGGCGUAAAGCGAGCGCAGGCGGUUCCUUAAGUCUGAUGUGAAAGCCCCCGGCUCAACCGGGGAGGGUCAUUGGAAACUGGGGAACUUGAGUGCAGAAGAGGAGAGUGGAAUUCCAUGUGUAGCGGUGAAAUGCGUAGAUAUUAGGAAGAACACCAGUGGCGAAGGCGACUUUCUGGACGAAAACUGACGCUGAGGCGCGAAAGCCAGGGGAGCGAACGGGAUUAGAUACCCCGGUAGUCCUGGCCGUAAACGAUGGGUACUAGGUGUAGGAGGUAUCGACCCCUUCUGUGCCGGAGUUAACGCAAUAAGUACCCCGCCUGGGGAGUACGACCGCAAGGUUGAAACUCAAAGGAAUUGACGGGGGCCCGCACAAGCGGUGGAGUAUGUGGUUUAAUUCGACGCAACGCGAAGAACCUUACCAGGUCUUGACA